rnacentral:rRNA from 1 species
CAGUAGCCACGGUAAUACGGAGGGUGCAAGCGUUAAUCGGAAUUACUGGGCGUAAAGCGCACGCAGGCGGUCUGACAAGUCAGAUGUGAAAUCCCCGGGCUUAACCUGGGAACUGCAUUUGAAACUGUCAGGCUGGAGUCUUGUAGAGGGGGGUAGAAUUCCAGGUGUAGCGGUGAAAUGCGUAGAGAUCUGGAGGAAUACCGGUGGCGAAGGCGGCCCCCUGGACAAAGACUGACGCUCAGGUGCGAAAGCGUGGGGAGCAAACAGGAUUAGAUACCCGUGUAGUCCCUGUCUCUUAUAA